ensembl:lncRNA
UUUAGAAUGUUAUUUUAACUACUUUAUCAGAAACAGCUGCCCUAGAAACUCACUAAAUGUACAACUCUUGAAGCAAAGACAGAAAUAUUUAUAAAUGUUAUGGAACAAAAGGCACACCGGAGACCACAUCUGGAGUACUUUGUACAGCUGCAGGCUUCCUGCACAAGACAGACAUGGACAUAAUGGAAAAAAUCUAGAGGAGGGCCUCAAAAAUGAUCAAGUGAUUGGAGCACCUCUCCUGUAAGGAAAGGCAGAAAGAUCUGAGUCUGCUUAGCCUGGAGAAGAGAAGGCUCAGGGAGAACUUGAAUGUAUGAAUCAACAUAUAUAAAUAACCUGAAAGGAAGGUCUAAGGAGAAU